rnacentral:rRNA from 1 species
CCUACGGGAGGCAGCAGUGGGGAAUAUUGGGCAAUGGGCGCAAGCCUGACCCAGCAACGCCGCGUGAAGGAAGAAGGCUCUCGGGUUGUAAACUUCUUUUAUCAGGGACGAAACACGUGACGGUCCCUGAUCAAUAAGCCACGGCUACCUACGUGCCAGCAGCCGCGGUACUACGUAGGUGGCAAGCGUUAUCCGGAUGUACUGGGUGUAAAGGGCGUGUAGGCGGGAAAGCAAGUCAGAUGUGAAAACCAUGGGCUCAACCUGUGGCCUGCAUUUGAAACUGUUUUUCUUGAGUACGGGAGAGGCAGACGGAAUUCCUAGUGUAGCGGUGAAAUGCGUAGAUAUUAGGAGGAACACCAGUGGCGAAGGCGGGCUGCUGGACAGCAACUGACGCUGAGGCGCGAAAGCGUGGGGAGCAAACAGGAUUAGAUACCCGAGUAGUC